CUCCCAGCUCACAAACCCUUUGUGGCCCAUGUGCCCCAAGGCAGUGUAUCUGCAACAUCUACUUCAUUGCUCCAAUACUCCAGAGCCCUAUCAUCCCAACUGGGAAAAGUUUGCAUCUCAGAAAAAUGGCACAUGGUUCUAUAGUAAGGUUUUAUAUCUGCCUUCAAAAAGAGAGAGAGAGGCUUACUUAUUAAAUGCCCCACUCCAUUGUGCUUAACCGUACUAUUUUGUUUGUCCUUCUAAAUUGUCCAGAGAAUUUGAGCAAGGCUAGAUUUGCAGGUAAGAUUAACGGUGGGCCCAGCUCUGAGCACUGGAGAUGGCAAGGUAGAUUUAAGGGUAGGUCAAAAGUAGCAAAGUAUAUCAUAUUCUAAAGAAGUCACCAGCAACCGAAGCCAGCAACAUCCACUGGGUCUAUUGAGAGUUGCCAGAAUUGAUAUCUGCCAGAUCACUACGCCAGCCUUGUGAAGAGUACAUUGUUUAUGGACAGAGGCCGUUUUCUUUCUUAUACAGGGAACAGGAGAGAGAAUAUUUCCCUUCUCCUAUUCAAAGAGAAGUUGGAAAAGGGCUUGAAGAAAAAAACACUCUAGAUAGUGGAUUUUCUUCCAGAGGGAAGGAUGAGAAUUUCAUUCUCUAUUAGGACGUCUAUUUAGGCAGCAGAGUUGCUAAAUUCUCUGUACCACAUCUAGCACAGAAGAAAAGAAAAAUGGAAUCGGUUGGCCUGGUGGGGAACUGCCAGAUGGAGAGUCAGGACCGCAAUCUUAAAUUCUCAGCUCCCAGGGAAUACGGAAUGUGGGCCCAGCGUGUCUCCAUGGUGGAAAGUGCUGAGACUACACUGCGUGGCAAACAAGGAGACACACAUACUAUAGGAGGUGUUGUGAUGUCACUACUCAGAGUUCAGUAGGGAGAGGUAGCCAGUCUGCUCAGGGCUCCUAGGAGGUCUACAUGGGAACAAGCCACUCAUCAGUGGAGCCCGUGGAGCCAUUUCCUUUUCAUGGCUGAACAAAAUGAACUACAACAGCAGUUAAAGUCAACCAAGACGAGAUGUUUGUAAUUUUCUCUCUCUAUCUCCUGAAACAAACGCUGGAGAAGCUAGUCCCACAGAGACAAUACAGCCUGGGGAAGUGGAUGAGGAGCUUGGAGGCAGUUUACAGAAAGCUGUGUUCUAAGAGCAGAAUUGAAGUUUUUAAAGGGUAUAAGGAAGAAGGUAAUAUCUAUGGAGCUAGAAUGGAGACCACUUGGAGGGGCGGUCACACUAGUUAGUGCCAGGAGGGUCUUUAAUGAGCCCCAAGCCUGAAGGCCGCUCUUGACCCCUCGUGCAGCAUAUAUGCUGCUUGGUGCUCGGCAGGCUUUAGAAACUCUAGCUGUCUCUCUUGUUUUCCUCUAGAAGACCUGUCAGGUAGAGAUUCUCUAUUCUUUUUUGAAGUUUUCUUUCUGUCUUAAACUUUUUCUUGUGGCAUAGACCCCUUUGCAGAUCUGAUAAUUGUGCUAAAACUUUUGUUCAGAUAAAGAUUCCUGCACACAAACACAUUUUUGGAUACAAUUAGGGGGUAGUUAAAGACUCCUUAAAGAUCACUGUAAGAUAUUUAAGAAUUCUUAGACCCUAGUUUAUGAAGAUCAGAUCUAUUCCUUUUCUUGGAUGCUCUCAAUAUGCAAUUAUUUUCUGUCCCUGGGAGUCAGGGAAAUAGGAAGAUGAUUGAUCUGUUUUUGUUUUUGUUUUUGUAUCAGGAUCUGCACAAAAGCGUUCCCUCUGUACAGAACACUUUGUCCAACUCUCUACACCUAUGUCUUACUAAUUCAUCAGGAUUCUGCUCAGCAGCUCAAUUGUCAAAAGCCUUUCACAGUCUCCAUCAUGAAUCAACUGUCCUUAUUUUCUCCCAGAGCAACAUGGGCAGGCGUUUGUUAGAGUAUUUUUUAUAAUGUAAUUGUAAGUUCCCUAGACUAUAAGCAUCAUGCGGUCAGGAUCCUGUCUCUUUCAAAUCUGUGUCUUCUGGAGUCAGCAUGACUUGUGAAAUGAAUGACUGAAGAGAUGAGUAAAGACAUCUGUUGUUUGGUAUAAUUUUACUUAUAUUCUUAAGUAUGUACCCAAUCCUUCCCUCUAUUAGUAAAUUCUAAUGUUCUGUUUAUCAGCAAAAGCUUCUCAGAGUCUCUCAUCUUUUGGCAUUGAUUCCUCAUUUCGCUGAGGUCAGCAGACCUCUGGUCCAGAUUUGGGAUGCUCAUAUUCUCCUGGAUCUGCUGCGACUACUGUUUUCUGCUUUAGCAGUUCUCAGCCCCUCCAGCCUUGGUUCUAGUGAUCUGCACUCUCACUCUUCUCUGCCUGUUUAAUUACUACCUAUGUUGCCACAGGAGGUCCUAUAUCUUACAUCUUUCUCCUUCUGUGGCCCAGCCAUGUUUCCAUCUUCUUGCACAAACUGAGAUUUUAUACCACAUGAUCCAAGUCCUCUAAACUAACCUCACUUCUGGGAACAUAUAGUACUGCAGACAUUUGCUGGUUGCCUUCCCAACAUAUUUCCCUCCUUAUAUCCCCAGGCAUACUAUGGUUAUUCUUUCAGAAGUUAUCUCUCUCUCGUCGUCAGAAGUGCAUUUUUGGUGAUAUUCUCCUUUUUUAUCCUGGCUUUAAGAGUGGAUCCAUACUGGUCUAAGCCAAUUUUGCCCAUCUCAUUCCCUUUAGCCCAGAUGGUCACCUGGCCAAGUAUGGGGCAAUGCAUAAAAAGGACUCCCAUUGCCUUUUUUGGGAGCUACUGGAAAAGAUUAGAUUCUCUCUUUUUCCUUUGGAUGGCAUAACGUGUUGUGGGAAGGCUGGAAUUUCUGCUCUCAUUUUGCUACCUCAUUCAAAAGAACGAGAGUUUUGGGGGUCCACCAAAGAAGUGGCCUAAAAAUGGAACUAGAUCUGGUUCCUGAGAAAUAAGACUACAUUUUUGCCUAGGUUUUAAAAAUAUCCCUUAUUAUUUAAUCCCAUUUAAGGUGUUUAUUUUUUCUAUAGUACUUUUGUCUUUUAUAAUCAAAAAAAUCCAAACCCAAAGACUGGGAUCGAACUGGAAAUUUUAUACCCCAGGUGAAAAAUAGGUCCUUAGGGUUCAGAUCUCAGAGGAAAAAAUAUGAAGGAGAAAAAAAAUAAAGGAGGGAAAUGAGAAAAAUAAUGAUAAAAAUAGGCUUCAGUUUAUAUGGACCGUAUUUGAAUGAGACAUCAAGAUCAAGAAUAGUUCAUCAGUUUGAUCCCCAGUGUAGAAAAACCGACUAUAUGAGAAAUCGGAGAAAUGAAUCAAGUCUUGCAAUUUUAUGAAAUGGAACAACUGCCACUGUGUUGGUAUUGCCUUGUUAACUUGUGUAUUUGUUAGGAUCCCAGUUUAAGUGAUGGACUAGAAGAAGCUUUAACCCAACAAGGGGAUUUAUUUAAUGGAUAGUGGAAUACCAAAAGAGGACAAGAAAAGAUAUGCAGAUGGGCCUCAGGAACAAACCAAAGCCAGGGACCUAUGAGGAUUCUGCUUUAUUAUCUUUACAUGUCUCUGUAUGUCUGCUCCCUUCUUUUCUUUCUCUCUGCAGAAUAGUAUCCUCUGCCUCUCUCUUUGUUCUUAAUUCCAAAUCCCUGGGAAGGGGAUUCUAAAUGACUCAGCCCAGGCCUGGGCUUCAAUCUGGACCAAUUAAUUGGUGCCAUGGAGUGGAAUAACGAUUUAUGACUAUAUGCUGGAAAUUUAAGGAGUUGGUGUCAUGCAUAGCACUUUCUUUAAAAGGGGGAGAGUGAAUUCGACCCAACUGUUGUCCACUACUAUUGGAUCAGAACAGUCUAUGAUGAGAUCCAUGGACUAUAGUUCUACAGUGUUAGGGGACUGUUUUUCUGCCUCUUUCUAUGCUACGGUAUCUAAUCAUUGGCUUUCACUGUGCCCUCACUAUGCAGCUUUAGUCUCUUGUCACUCAGUCAGAGAAGUAAAGACAGACAAAGGUUUCUAUUUUGUCUUUGCAUUUUUUCUGGUUUGAUGCUGGAAUAUAAGCUCAGAGUCAACACUCUGAGAUGACAAGUAAACUCUGUGGGUAGUUUAUUGACAACUGCCACAGAGGAGCACAAAGCUCCUUCUUCCUAGAUAUGUCAGGCAUUAAUAUACCUCAUUUUUAUAUAACCCACUUCCCAAAAGCUUAAUGCUAUAUUUCACAUUGUAACAUUCUCCUAGUAAAUAAGGAACAUUUUAUUAAAUGUAUAUCACAUUUAGCAGCAAGGCUUUAAAAGAUAAUGAUUUUCUUCAUUUUCAAUUGGCUUUUUCUCUUAAACCGAAACUCAACUUCUUGCUAUAUUCUCCUACCUAUGAUCACGUAUUUGCAACAUCUAGUGCACAAUUCAUAUAAAGAGCCUAAACUGAAGAUUUCUCCCUUCCCUCCUUCUAAGGGUGAAAUCCUAACUUAGUUGAUCUGAUUUUAUUCUUUCAUGCAACCUUGCUGUUCAUUCUACUGGUCAAGGAUGAAAAUGAUACAAUUCACUGCCGAACUCAAUCUCCAUAAACCAUUUUCUCAAGCCCCAGCAAUUCUUAAUGGUCAAAUCAUAAACACCAGAAAAGAGGAGUUUAAAAUAGAAAUGCUGACAAGCCCUUAACUACAGCACAUUGAAUGAUGCUGCCAUAAUGUGCUAUAUUAGAUGUACUCCUUAGAGCUUAUUGCCAGGGGUGAGUCUAUAAAUUCCUGAAUUAAACCUCAAGUGCUCAUAGCUUACACUUUUAAAUUAAAUUUCUUACUUGAUGCUCUCCUUAGAGGAAUCUGUUCUGCAGCAUCUGGUACACUCGGUAAAUAAAAAUAGGCUAAACUAAACUGCUUACAUCAGGUUUGAAAUGUAUUUCUAUCAUAUUGCCACUACAGAAAGUGGUGUGUUCAACUUACCAAAAAUGUCUUUGGGCACUUUAUAUUAAAUAAUUGUGGCCAGCCACUCCUAAUAAAUAAAGGAAGAACAGGGGGAAGACUGCUGAACGGUGUCCUCUGAAACUGAAAAGUGAUGUAGAAAUUUUGGAAAAUAUCUGUUUAAAAAUAUUUGAAGAAUGUUUUUAAUAUAUUCUGAUUUUUCCAUGCCAUUUAAGAUGAGAAAUAAUGAGGCCAGUUUUUCCACUUUGUAUUCAAAUUGGUAGCAAUUUUCUCCUAUGAAUGUAUCAGAAUCAAUUUAAUUUUAGAAUUCAAACAACUCGUCCCUAAGACAGAGUCAUCUGGGGAAUGUGACUUUCAUUUAGUUGCCUUGACAUGUUAAUAGGUAAUCUUUGUUUAGUCAAAUGAAGAUGGUUAGUUCACAUUAUUGCUUAGGGAUUCUAAAUGUGAGGAUUGAUCAGAGAGUAUGAACAGCAUGAUGAAUGUUCUUCCUGGACUCCUCAAGCAAGAUUUAUUGAGUUUUCGAUUUUCAUAUGUUUUAUAAUUUGAACUAGAAUUUCAUCUUGAAACUCAUCUACUAAGGACUUCAGAAAAAUCAAGAAUGAACUUCAUGAAAUAUCUUCAUUAACUUAUUCCUAUAAAUCUUUCAGAGACACAUACUUUUUUCUACUUUCAUUUCUGGUCUUAAGCAAGUAGUCAAAAAUCAAAGCACACAUUAAUGUUGGACACAUCAGGAUGCAUAGAUGAAACCAUAAUGCUUGAAUAUUUAGGGAAAAGGAUUUCAACAUUUUAUGGUCAAAAGAUUUUAGGAAAUAAAAAUAAAAAUCAUUUGCUCAAGUCAUGCCAGCUUUUUCCCUAUUAAUAAAAUGGAUAAAAUAUUUCUAACUUGUCUCACUUACUUUUAAAUACAAUAGGCUUUCAAAUAAAAGUCUUUCAAAUGAAAACACUUUCAAAUAAAAACUAAACAUGAAAUGAGAAGGGAACUAGUUGAGUAAGAAAUCACCGAAUCAGAUAACACUUUUGUUUCUUUAAAUUGACUUUCUUAUCUGGCACUUAGACUCUAAGAUAAUUUUUAUUAAAUAUGUUUUGGUAAAUGUUUUGAAUCAUAGUAAUACUCAUGUAGGAGCAUAGGAGGAUAUGUCCAAAUGAGUUUGUAUUAUUCAGAGGCAACAUUUUCAGUCAGGAUGUGCCAAUGAGAUCUAAAGUUUGGGCACAAACAUUAAAUCUAUGGCGCCUUGAAGCCAAAAUGCCAUCAUCAAGGGUGGCCUCUGGAGAACACAUCACGGUGUUAGGAAAGAUAGCUCUCUCUUGAACUAUUUGUUCAUUGAAUUUAAUGAAAAAAUUGUAGAGACAGUAUUAGAUGUAGAGUCACUGAGGGACCAUCCAUGUGUGGAAUAGUGGGUUCAAUAGCUGGAAAGUCUACGAAUUUCCUUUUGCAAUUUGAACUUUUGUCUUCCAGGUUGGAGGUAAUGUGAUAAAGACGGAUCUGAAAUAGAGAGGUGAAUUGAAAACAUUAUCACCCAAAAUGAUCUGUUUAUCAUUUCACCUUCUCACUGGAGCUUAAGAUACACAGAACAGUGUUAAACUAUAUCACCUAUGUAUCUUUUUAUAUGUUUUUAUUAGGACAACCCAUGUAUUGUGACAGUAUUGGAGUCUAUGCCUAUAGAUUUCUGACUAAUAAACCCUUAUUGAUUUAGCUAUAGCCUCAGUUGCAGGAAAUCUCUAGAAUUUGACCUUUUUGAAUUCCCUCCAGAGGCUAGAAAAUGCUCAGCCUCCUUAGGAAGGGUUAAUGCUGAAAACAGGUUGGGUAUCCUACCUCUGCUUAUAUUUCCCUGAUGCAAAGAGAACAGGACUUGGUAAAAGGAAAUACUUUGAUCUCUAUUAUCCUUUUAGUAGACUGCUUUGAUGCUGCUGCUAUCCUCUCCCUAUAAAUGUGGAAGUACUAAUGAUAGCCCCAAAAUGAAAGAAAAAAAUCCUUAUACGUAGACAUUCCUUAUAGGUUGGCUCAGGCCUCUUCAGCUUUCUUUUCAUAUUGUCUUCCUGAUCCAUCUUAUCUAUUCCUUUAGUCCAGAUGCCAGCAACUUUUCAGUAAAGGGCCAGACAAUGAAUAUUAUAGAUUUCCUGAGCCAUAUAGUCUCUGUCACAACUGCUCAACUCUGCCAUCAUAGCAUGACAACAGCCAUGGACAGUACUUAAAGGAAUGGGUGUAGCUGGGUCCCAAUAAAAUUUACUUACAAAAAUAUGUGACAGUAUUGCAGUUGCCUGAUCCCUGUUCUACUUCAUAGCGUUAACCAUCAUUUCUUCAAAUAUGUAUUUGUAGCCCUGACUUCUUCUUCCUCGCCUCUGGGCCCACAUUUCAAUCCCAAUAAACAUUACAUUUGGAUGCCAGAUAUUACAGUGGACUCCAUACAUGUUGUCCCAUUGAUCCCAAUCCUGUCUGAGUUAGCUAUUAUUAUCCUCUUUUAUAGAGACCCUAAGCAGCUUGCCCCCUAUUCUAGCUAGAAAUGCAGAGAUUUGUUUGAACACAGAUUUAUCUCACUUGAAAUCUCAAGGUGAUAAAUGACCUCACUAAGUGUCCUCCCAUAUACAAAAUGAAGUUCAACUUCCUUAGUCUGGUGCUCCCUUUACUUCCCAAUCUUGUUCAGUACUCAUAGAGACCUUGUGUUUAAGCUGGAGUAGCAUCUUGGUUGGUCUACAGAAAUAGUCCAUUUACCCAAAAGUCAUUUCAAAAUAAUUCAAAUGUCAUAGGACAAAACACAGCUCCAAAGAUCUUCACAGAAUAUGGUUUCUUUGAAAGAAAAAGAUAUAAUAGUGAAAAAGAAAACCAGGGUCAUGACAUUUCCAG
rnacentral:lncRNA from 1 species